rfam:Gossypium raimondii Chr10_contig_1451, whole genome shotgun sequence.
UGUUAAAAAUUUCAUCCAUUUCUACUAAUAAAUAUGAGUGUAGCUGACAAAAUAACCAAACAAUUACAUGUGGUGUGUCAUAUUCAUAUAUACCUCAAAGCUGACAUACAUGGACCAAUUUCUAACCAUAGAAAUAGAUAGAAUUUUUAACA